UAUCAACCAUUCAAGAUUCAACGCCACCAAAUCUUCUCUCCACCCCCCCCCCCAACUCCCGACCUCUUCUCCAGAUUUACGCUCCAUGGAUUGUUUUCGCUGUCGAUUCCAUCGGAUUCGCGUCGAUCGUCUAGAGAUCUACGCGUUGACGGUGGUUUGAGAUUGUGAGGUGAUGGAUUGAGCUGCUUUUGAAUUCAGCUGCUUUCACCAGCGCGAGCUUCUGUGUUCGCCGAUCUUCGAUUCGGAUUUACAGAUUUCGCAGACGGAGAUCUAACCAUAUCAGAAGGACGCGACAUCGUUUCAGCUGCUGAUCUCCUGGUGGCUGAAGAACAUCUAUCAGACGAUUCACAUGUAAUCUUGAUCGAGGGUCAUGAUUGUAAUUUCAUGAGUGUAGCCGGAAGAUUGUGGGGGUUUUGGGUUGGGAGUAUUGGUUGAAUUGGAUGGAUGUAUAAGAUAUCGGGACGAAAGGCUCGGUGGAAGGGCCGAGUCCUGGACCGAUCUUUGUCAUCCGACCUUUGCCAUGACAGGUGCGCUUGCAUGGCGGGUCAAAAAAAUAUCUCAAUAAAAAAUAACGAAUUUUUGGUUUUGAGGGGAGACAGCAUGGGUUUGUUUUGCCCAGGGUCUCUCCUCCGGUGUGGUGUGCGCUCUCUGUCUUUGUCUUUUUGUUCCAUGUUUCAAUUUUGCUUGCCGCCAACUGCAAACAGUCGGACAUGGAUUCCGGACAACUACAAAUGCAUCGAUAUCUCGCCUCCAAAGGUAUUAUCUGACAGCCUAUUUCAAUUGAUUUGCACAGGAAACAUAUAAUCACGUGCACGAUUAAUUAGGUCUCAUUCUCACAUGUGGGAUUAAUCUAAUUUUGUAUACACUAUGAAGCCUUCAAUCGAUAUAACCUAUAAUUCUUGGAGCUUAGGGAUUGAUAGAAAGAAUAAUAAUAAUUUUUCAGUUUGCUAAUUGUGGAGUUCUUCAAUCAACUCCUUUAUUUUGAAGGUAAACUGAGUUAUUUAAUCCAGAAAAAAAGCACCUGUAAUUGUUUUAAAGCUAAAUUAAGUUAUUUAAUCUAUAUUUAUUGUUGAGUACAAAUUACAGUAUUUGAUCCAGAAAAAGAACUUUGUAAUUGAAAGAUCCAAAUCAUGACCAAUAAUUACUUGGUAAUUUUACAAUCUACUUAUGCCACACUCUACACAUUCUAUCAUACUACUUGAACAAUUCCCGCUUCCAAAAUCUAUCCGGCUUACUUUUUAAAGUUACCAUUAUGCACUGAUUAUUGCCUCGAUAUUAUUGUACUUACGAAUUCUAUGAGCUGAGAGUAGGAUUGUGUUAUCAUAUACCCUGAAGUGCCUAUUUUGUUAUUGUUUGAUCUCAAUGGAUGUUGCUAGAUAUUUUGAGGUCUGUUAAUGCGUGGCUCUUUGUAAUAUCAUGUAAUUAUGUUGCUUUGGCUGCCAUUGUUGCAAGCCAUGCCUUGUAUUCAAAUUAGACGAUUCUAGGGAAGUUGGCUGCCGGAAGGUCUCUUCUCAAGGAUUCAUAAUAGCCAGAAUGAAGUCUCUCAUAUCAUUUACAAGUUAAUGGAAUUUCUACUCAAAAACAAGCUGUGUGGUCGUGGGGAAGAUCCAAAUUUCGUUACAUUGCAGUCUCUUUUCCCAGAACUUGAGAUGACCAAGGAAACGAGUUGAGCUUCACAAUCUUUUGUCUUUGAAGUUUUAAAUCUCAGCAAGUAAUAUUUUCAGUUAAUUUACCUUAUGUGAUUGAAUCCAUUGUGAGGAUUAUUUCAUGUGCCCAUUAUCAUUUAUUUAUUCUGUUCAUUUGUUCAGUUUA